rnacentral:rRNA from 1 species
UGAGGAAUAUUGGUCAAUGGGCGCGAGCCUGAACCAGCCAAGUCGCGUGAGGGAAGACGGUCCUACGGAUUGUAAACCUCUUUUGCCGGGGAGCAACGGGCGCCACGUGUGGCGCAGAGGAGAGUACCCGGAGAAAAAGCAUCGGCUAACUCCGUGCCAGCAGCCGCGGUAAUACGGAGGAUGCGAGCGUUAUCCGGAUUUAUUGGGUUUAAAGGGUGCGUAGGCGGGCUGCUAAGUCAGCGGUAAAAUCGCGGGGCUCAACCCCGCCGAGCCGUUGAAACUGGCGGUCUUGAGUGGGCGAGAAGUGCGCGGAAUGCGUGGUGUAGCGGUGAAAUGCAUAGAUAUCACGCAGAACUCCGAUUGCGAAGGCAGCGCACCGGCGCCCGACUGACGCUGAAGCACGAAAGCGUGGGGAUCGAACAGG